rnacentral:lncRNA from 1 species
AUGAACCACGCAUUCCCAUUCAGGACACGUGCAGUGCUAGAAGUGACAGGGAUUUACUGCUGUCCAAGCAGAAAUGAUGGUGAUAGGUUCAAACCCCUAAAUGCUUGCUCCACAGAACUAGCCGAGGUAAUGUAUUUUCUCCUCAGAGGCCUACUCCCCGGUGGCUUGCCCUUAAUCACAGUCACCAGACUCAAAGGAAACAAAGCCCGGAGGUUGGCUCUUUCUCAGCCAUGCUGGAGCCCAUCCAGGACAGCAAUUCCUUUCCUCGCCACUACUUCACUGCUGCAGGAAUGCAGCAAAUGCUGCAGAAUUGCAAAUGGGCGGAUCCCUGGAUUCCUUCAGUAGAGCUGUCAAGCUCCUGCAGGAUUUGUAACGUUAGUGGUUGAAUUUUUUGUUUGGGGCCAGCGCUGUGGUGUAGCAGAUUAUAGCCCUGGCCUACAGCGCCGACAUCCCAUGUAGGCACCGGUUUGAGUCCUGGCUGUUCCACUUCUGAUCCAGCUCCCUGCUAAUGCUCCUGGGAAAGAAGCGGAGGAUGGCCCAAGUCCUUGGGCCCCUGCACCUACUUGGUAUACCUGGAAGAAGCUCCUGGAUCCUGGCUUCAGAUCAGCCCAUCUCUGGCCAUUGCGGCCAUUUGAGAAGUGAACCAGUGCAUGGAAACCCUUCCUCUCUCUCCCUCUCUCUCUCUCUCUCUUUCCCUCUCUCUCUCUCUCUCUUUCUCUCUCUCUCUCUCUGUCUGUAACUCUACCUCUCAAAUAAAUAAAAUCUUUAAACAAUAAAAAAAUAAUAU